GCUUCAUGUCUCACUUUUAUUUGGAUUUAUUUGUAAAACCACAUUAGUACUGAGAAAUUGGAUGGAUGUGGGACCUGAGAUCAAUUCUUAUAUUUGUAUAUGAAAAAUUUACAAUUCUUUUGAAUGAUUUGAGAAUCUGCUGCUUAUUUUUAUAAAGACAUUUACUAGAUAUGUGUGUCUUAUUUCUAGUUGAUUAUUCUUGCAUAUACAUGGUGUAUUUGUAUC